rnacentral:tRNA from 1 species
GGGGUCAUAGCUCAGUGGUAGAGCAUUUGCCUAAUAAGCAUAAGGCUCUAGGUUCAAUCUUCAUUUCA